rnacentral:rRNA from 1 species
CCUACGGGAGGCAGCAGUCGAGAAUCAUUCACAAUGGGGGAAACCCUGAUGGUGCGACGCCGCGUGGGGGAAUGAAGGUCUUCGGAUUGUAAACCUCUGUUAUGUGGGAGCAAAUUAAAAAGCUAGUACCAGAAGAGGAAGAGACGGCUAACUCUGUGCCAGUAGCCGCGGUCAUACAGAGGUGUAAAGCGUUGUUCGGAAGCACUGGGCGUAAAUCGUGGGUAGGCUGUUUCGUAAGUCGUGUGUGAAAGGUGCGGGGUCAAACCGCGGACGGCACAUGAUACUGCGAGACUAGAGUAAUGGAGGGGGAACCGGAAUUCUCGGGGUAGCAGUGAAAUGCGUAGAUAUCGAGAGGAACACU